rnacentral:rRNA from 1 species
AGAGUUUGAUCAUGGCUCAGGAUGAACGCUGGCGGCGUGCCUAACACAUGCAAGUCGAACGGAGUUAUGAUGAAACCUAGUGAUUCAUAACUUAGUGGCGGACGGGUGAGUAACGUGUGGGUAACCUGCUGUAUACAGGGGGAUAACACUUAGAAAUAGGUGCUAAAACCGCAUAAGCGCACAGGAUCGCAUGAUCCGGUGUGAAAAACUCCGGUGGUAUACGAUGGACCCGCAUCUGAUUAGCUGGUUGGUGAGGUAACGGCCCACCAAGGCGACGAUCAGUAGCCGGCCUGAGAGGGUGAACGGCCACAUUGGGACUGAGACACGGCCCAAACUCCUACGGGAGGCAGCAGUGGGGAAUAUUGCACAAUGGGGGAAACCCUGAUGCAGCAACGCCGCGUGAGUGAAGAAGUAUUUCGGUAUGUAAAGCUCUAUCAGCAGGGAAGAAAAUGACGGUACCUGACUAAGAAGCCCCGGCUAACUACGUGCCAGCAGCCGCGGUAAUACGUAGGGGGCAAGCGUUAUCCGGAUUUACUGGGUGUAAAGGGAGCGUAGACGGUUAAGCAAGUCUGAAGUGAAAUGCCGGGGCUCAACCCCGGAACUGCUUUGGAAACUGUUAAACUGGAGUGCAGGAGAGGUAAGUGGAAUUCCUAGUGUAGCGGUGAAAUGCGUAGAUAUUAGGAGGAACACCAGUGGCGAAGGCGGCUUACUGGACUGUAACUGACGUUGAGGCUCGAAAGCGUGGGGAGCAAACAGGAUUAGAUACCCUGGUAGUCCACGCCGUAAACGAUGAUUACUAG